GACGCUGGCGGCAGGCUACACUGCAGGUGUAAGCGCGCCUUCGGGUGAGCCGCGGACGGUAUAGUAACGCGUGGGAACGUGCCCUUCUCUACGGAAUAGCCUCUGGAAACGGAGAGUAAUACCGUAUACGCCCUUUGGGGGAGAGAUUUAUCGGAGAAGGAUCGGCCCGCGUUAGAUUAGGUAGUUGGUGGGGUAACGGCCUACCAAGCCUACGAUCUAUAGCUGGUUUUAGAGGAUGAUCAGCAACACUGGGACUGAGACACGGUCCAGACUCCUACGGGAGGCAGCAGUAGGGAACAUUGCGCAACUGGGGGCAACCCUGAACCCAGCAAUGCCGAGUGAGUGAAGAAGGGCUUCUGGGUCGUAACAAGCUCUUCUAUGGGGGAUGAUGAUGACGGUAACCCCAUGAAAUAAGAACCGGGUUAAACAUACGUGCCAGCAGCCGAGCGGUAAUAAACAAGGAGUGCCAGCGUUCGGUCGGAAUUACCUGGGC
rnacentral:rRNA from 1 species